UAUUUGCCGCGGAAGGCGGGCUCUCGGGGCGCACGGCCCAACCCUUCCUCUCCCGGGGGCGUGGCGCUCGGCGCGCCGGCCAAUCCCCGGCCACGUCGUGGCGCAGCAGCCAAUGAGGAACGCCGGGGGGAUUAAAGCUCGCCGCUGCCGGCCCCUCCUCCCCUCUCCUCAGCGCCGGGCGGGUUGGCGGCUCGGGCGCGGUCCCCGCUGGCUCCCUCCCGGCCUUUCUCGCCCCGCGCCCGUCGGGCUUCAAUCCGGCGCCAUCGCGCGCCUCGCGCGGCCGGGCGUGAGCGCGACAGGCGGCGACGCCGGGGCCAAGCCGAGGGCGUCCGGAUGCGAGCAGGAUCUUGAGGGAAGGACCGAGGCCUCGGGCGCCUGAGGAGAAAGGAAGCGGCGGCGCCAAGAUGCUGGGGCCGGGCUCGGGCCGGCCGGGCGCGCGCCGCCCGGGGGCGAGGUCCCGUCGCGGGGGCCGCGCCCUGUGCCCGCCGUGGCUCUCCGCGGAGCCUGAGGAAUUACGUUCUUGGAGCUGCUGGCAAAAGAUUCCUUGACCUUGAAAGGAAUACAGUUGAAGGGUGUUUUUCUUGUACAACAUUUGUGCAACUUCUUGUACCAGAUCAAAUAAUCUGAAGAUAAGUCGAGCCGGAGCGAUAGUAGAGCGGGUAGGGUGUUUGCCUCACAUGCAGCCGACCUGGAUUUGAUCCCUGGCAUCCCAUAUGGUUCUCCAGCACUGCCAGGAAUGAUUCCUGGGUUCAGAGCCAGGAGUAACCCCUGAGCAUCUCCAGGUGUGACCAAAAAAAAAGAAGAAAAAAUUGAAGAUAUGUAUCAGGUGAUCUUUACUCUGCGUACUUUUCUUUACAUGGCAUGUAGAUGAAGAUGAGUCUUCACAAUGUAAAUAGCACCAGCAAUACAGUUGAAAAUCUCACAGUAGUAACUGAACUGUUAUGUAAACUUUGCUGCUAACUUAUUCUUUAGUCUGUAUGUCAUCAUGCCAAUAAAAGAUGAGUGUCGUGAUAAAUAAACUAAUUUCCUUCAAA